rnacentral:tRNA from 2 species
GCGGCCUUGGUGUAGUGGUUAGCAUUGUUGCCUUCCAUCCGACAAAGCAACAGAGGGGGGUUCGAUUCCCCCAGGUCGCA